CCUACGGGUGGCAGCAGUGAGGAAUAUUGGUCAAUGGACGCAAGUCUGAACCAGCCAUGCCGCGUGCAGGAAGACGGCUCUAUGAGUUGUAAACUGCUUUUAUAUGGGGGUAAACGCAUAUACGUGUAUCAGUCUGAAAGUAUCGUACGAAUAAGGAUCGGCUAACUCCGUGCCAGCAGCCGCGGUAAUACGGAGGAUUCAAGCGUUAUCCGGAUUUAUUGGGUUUAAAGGGUGCGUAGGCGGGCGGGUAAGUUAGUGGUGAAAGGUCGGGGCUCAACUGGGGAAUUGCAGUUGAAACUGGCCGUCUAGAGUACAGUUGCGGUAGGCGGAAUGCAUGGUGUAGCGGUGAAAUGCUUAGAGAUCAUGAAGAACACCGAUUGCGAAGGCAGCUUACUGGACUACAACUGACGCUGAGGCACGAAAGUGUGGGGAGCAAACAGGAUUAGAUACCCGUGUAGUC
rnacentral:rRNA from 1 species